CCUACGGGAGGCAGCAGUGAGGAAUAUUGGUCAAUGGGAGAGAUCCUGAACCAGCCAAGCCGCGUGAGGGAAGACGGCCCUAUGGAUUGUACACCUCUUUUGUCGGAGAUCAAAACCCGGGACGCGUCCCGUACUGCGUGUAUCCGAAGAAAAAGCAUCGGCUAACUCCGUUCCAGAAGCCGCGGUAAUACGGAGGAUGCGCGCGUUAUCCGGAUGUCUUGGGUUUAAGGGGUGCGUAGGCGGUCCGUUACGUCAGCGGUAAAAUUGCGGGGCUCAACCCCUUCGAGCCGUUGAACCUGGCAGACUUGAGUGGGCGAGAAGUACGCGGAAUGCGCGGUGGAGCGGUGAAAUGCAUAGAUAUCGCGCAGAACUCCGAUUGCGAAGGCAGCGUACCGGCGCCAGACUGACGCUGAGGCACGAAAGCGUGGGGAUCGAACAGGAUUAGAUACCCCAGUAGUC
rnacentral:rRNA from 1 species